CAGCAGCCGCGGUAAGACAGAAGAUGCAAGCGUUAUCCGGAAUGAUUGGGCGUAAAGCGUCUGUAGGUGGCUUUUCAAGUCCACCGUCAAAUCCCAGGGCUCAACCCUGGACAGGCGGUGGAAACUACCAAGCUAGAGUACGGUAGGGGCAGAGGGAAUUUCCGGUGGAGCAGUGAAAUGCGUUGAGAUUGGAAAGAACACCAACGGCGAAAGCACUUUACUGAGCCGACACUGACAUUGAGAGGCGUAAUCUAGGGGAGCAAAUGGGAUUAGAGACCCCAGUAGUCCCUGUCUCUUAUAC
rnacentral:rRNA from 1 species